AUUGAACGCUGGCGGCAGGCCUAACACAUGCAAGUCGAGCGGAUGAGGGUAGCUUGCUAUCUGAUUCAGCGGCGGACGGGUGAGUAAUGCCUAGGAAUCUGCCUGGUAGUGGGGGACAACGUUUCGAAAGGAACGCUAAUACCGCAUACGUCCUACGGGAGAAAGUGGGGGAUCUUCGGACCUCACGCUAUCAGAUGAGCCUAGGUACGAUUAGCUAGUUGGUGAGGUAAAGGCUCACCAAGGCGACGAUCGUUAACUGGUCUGAGAGGAUGAUCAGUCACACUGGAACUGAGACACGGUCCAGACUCCUACGGGAGGCAGCAGUGGGGAAUAUUGGACAAUGGGCGAAAGCCUGAUCCAGCCAUGCCGCGUGUGUGAGGAAGGUCUUCGGAUUGUAAAGCACUUUAAGUUGGGAGGAAGGGCAGUAAGUUAAUACCUUGCUGUUUUGACGUUACCGACAGAAUAAGCACCGGCUAACUUCGUGCCAGCCGCCGCGGUAA
rnacentral:rRNA from 1 species